rnacentral:rRNA from 1 species
GAUGAACGCUGGCGGCGUGCCUAAUACAUGCAAGUCGAGCGAACAGACGAGGAGCUUGCUCCUCUGACGUUAGCGGCGGAAGGGUGAGUAACACGUGGAUAACCUACCUAUAAGACUGGGAUAACUUCGGGAAACCGGAGCUAAUACCGGAUAAUAUAUUGAACCGCAUGGUUCAAUAGUGAAAGACGGUUUUGCUGUCACUUAUAGAUGGAUCCGCGCCGCAUUAGCUAGUUGGUAAGGUAACGGCUUACCAAGGCAACGAUGCGUAGCCGACCUGAGAGGGUGAUCGGCCACACUGGCACUGUGACACGGUCCAGACUCCUCCGGUAGGCAGCAGUAGGGAAUCUUCCGCAAUGGGCGAAAGCCUGACGGAGCAACGCCGCGUGAGUGAUGAAGGUCUUCGGAUCGUAAAACUCUGUUAUUAGGGAAGAACAAAUGUGUAAGUAACUAUGCACGUCUUGACGGUACCUAAUCAGAAAGCCACGGCUAACUACGUG